rnacentral:rRNA from 1 species
GACGAACGCUGGCGGCGUGCUUAACACAUGCAAGUCGAACGGCAAGGCCCUGCUUUUGUGGGGUUCUCGAUUGGCGAACGCGUGAGUAACACGUGAGUAACCUGCCCUUGACUUUGGGAUAACUUCAGGAAACUGGGGCUACUAUCGGAUAGGAGCUCCUGCUGCAUGGUGGGCGUUGGAAAGUUUCGGCGGUUGGGGAUGGACUCGCGGCUUAUCAGCUUGUUGGUGGGGUAGUGGCUUACCAAGGCUUUGAAGGGUAGCCGGCCUGAGAGGGUGACCGGCGACAAGGGGACUGAGAGACGGAGCAGACGCGUAUGGGAGGCAGCAGGGGGGAAUAUUGCACAAUGGGCGGAAGUCUGAUGCAGAAACGCCGCGUGCGGGAAGACGGUCUUCGGGUUGUAAACAGCUGUCGCCUGAGACGAAGCGUGAGUGACGGUAAUGAGUAAAGAAGCACCGGCUAACUACGUG